UCUCUCCUCAGACAGGGCUGAGGUCUCUGGGGAAGGCAGAGCUGUGAUCUAGAAGAAGAUGAGACUGUUGGGUCUUCUCCUUUGCCUGGUGACGGCUCCCCAAGGUGUCCUGUCUGACCUGACACUGCAGGAGUCGGGCCCAGGACUGGUGAAGCCCUCGCAGACCCUCUCCCUCACAUGCACUGUCUCUGGAAUACUCUUUAAUCAGCUAUGGUGUGAGCUGG